rnacentral:rRNA from 1 species
CUACGGGGCGCUCCAGUGGGGAAUAUUGCACAAUGGAGGAAACUCUGAUGCAGCAACGCCGCGUGGAGGAUGACACUUUUCGGAGCGUAAACUCCUUUUAUAUAGGAAGAAGAUGACGGUACUAUAUGAAUAAGCGCCGGCUAACUCCGUGCCAGCAGCCGCGGUAAUACGGAGGGCGCAAGCGUUACUCGGAAUCACUGGGCGUAAAGAGCGUGUAGGCGGAUUAAAAAGUCAGAAGUGAAAUCCUAUAGCUUAACUACAGAACUGCUUCUGAAACUCUUAAUCUAGAAUAUGGGAGAGGUAGAUGGAAUUUCUGGUGUAGGGGUAAAAUCCGUAGAGAUCAGAAGGAAUACCGAUUGCGAAGGCGAUCUACUAGAACAUUAUUGACGCUGAGACGCGAAAGCGUGGGGAGCAAACAGGAUUAGAUACCCGAGUAGUC